rnacentral:rRNA from 1 species
GACGAACGCUGGCGGCGUGCUUAACACAUGCAAGUCGAACGGAAAGGCCCUGCUUUUGUGGGGUGCUCGAGUGGCGAACGGGUGAGUAACACGUGAGUAACCUGCCCUUGACUUUGGGAUAACUUCAGGAAACUGGGGCUAAUACCGGAUAGGAGCUCCUGCUGCAUGGUGGGGGUUGGAAAGUUUCGGCGGUUGGGGAUGGACUCGCGGCUUAUCAGCUUGUUGGUGGGGUAGUGGCUUACCAAGGCUUUGACGGGUAGCCGGCCUGAGAGGGUGACCGGCCACGUUGGGACUGAGAUACGGCACAGACUCCUACGGGAGGCAGCAGUGGGGAAUAUUGCACAAUGGGCGGAAGCCUGAUGCAGCAACGCCGCGUGCGGGAUGACGGCCUUCGGGUUGUAAACCGCUUUCGCCUGUGACGAAGCGUGGGUGACGGUAAUGGGUAAAGAAGCACCGGCUAACUACGUG